AGAAUCAACGCUGGCGGCGUGCCUAACACAUGCAAGUCGAACGCGAAAGUCUCCUUCGGGAGAUGAGUAGAGUGGCGUACGGGUGAGUAACACGUGGGUAAUCUGCCUCGAGGUGGGGAAUAACGGCCCGAAAGGGUCGCUAAUACCGCAUAACGCAGCGGCACCGCAUGGUGACAGUUGUUAAAGGGGGGGAUCUCGCAAGAGACCUCUCGCCGCGAGAGGAGCCCGCGCCCGAUUAGCUUGUUGGCGAGGUAAGAGCUCACCAAGGCGACGAUCGGUAGCCGGCCUGAGAGGGCGGUCGGCCACGACUGGCACGUGAGACACGGGCCAGACUCCUACGGGAGGCAGCAGUGGGAAUUUUGGGCAAUGGGCGAAAGCCUGACCCAGCAACGCCGCGUGGAGGACGAAAUCCCUUCGGGAUGUAAACUCCGAAAGUCGAGGAAGAAAUCCGUAGUGGGAAUAUACCAUACGGAUGACGUACCUGA
rnacentral:rRNA from 1 species